rnacentral:rRNA from 1 species
AUUGAACGCUAGCGGGAUGCUUUACACAUGCAAGUCGAACGGAGUGGCGAACGGGUGAGUAAUGUAUCGGAACGUGCCCAGUAGCGGGGGAUAACUACGCGAAAGCGUCGCUAAUACCGCAUACUAUUGGAGCGGCCGAUAUCGGAUUAACUAGAUGGUGAGGUAACGGUUCACCAAGGCGACGAUCCGUAGCUGGUUUGAGAGGACGACCAGCCACCCUGGGACUGAGACACGGCCCAGACUCCUACGGGAGGCAGCAGUGGGGAAUUUUGGACAAUGGGGGCAACCCUGAUCCAGCCAUCCCGCGUGUGCGAUGAAGGCCUUCGGGUUGUAAAGCACUUUUGGCAGGAAAGCGGUACCUGCAGAAUAAGCACCGGCUAACUACGUGCCAGCAGCCGCGGUAAUUC